rnacentral:lncRNA from 1 species
AUGCGAUGUGACACUGAAACCCUGGACACUGUGGGCAACAAUGAGACUGAAACCCUGGACACUGUGGGCAACAAUGAGACUGAAACCCUGGACACUGUGGGCAACGAUGAACCUCCUGGAGAUGAGGAGCCUCCUUGUAUGAAUGCAAUACUAAAACAUUUUAAGGAAAACCUUUGUAGCUUUGUCCUCAAGUGUAGAGAAAAGAACCACAUUCCAAUUUCAGUCCAACAAGAAAUUAUAAAUGACAUGAUCUUUUUAUUUUGUUAUUUUAAAGAAAACUAUGACUCUUUUAUCAGUUACCAUCUUCAACAAAGUGGAUUCAAUGUUUUGGAGUGUCCUAAGUUUCAAGAGAUUUUACAAUCUAAUGACUUUUUUGAAAAAGCAACAGAAGCUAUUCGUUCACCAUACAUGCUCAAAGAACAUUGCAAGUCAAAAAUGCAUUUGGUUGAGCCGGUUCAUCAAAACUUAAGGUCUGAAACGGGUCAGAAAAUAGGGACUUAUUCAUAUGUCCCUAUCAGAGAUGUUUUAAGCAAUUAUUGUUCACAUGAGGACAUUGACGAGGACAUUGAGGUCACAGAACAAUCGAACAGCAAUCCUGAUUGUUUAAGUGACUAUACAGAUGGAACUCACUUCAAAAACCAUCCUUUUUUCAGAGAUAAUCCAGAUGCCCUGCGUCUUCAUUUCUACGAAGAUGAAUUCGAAGUAGUCAAUCCCUUGGGAUCAAAACAAACCAAGCACAAGCUGUGCGCUUUCUAUUAUACUGUAGGCAACAUAAAUGGUAGACAUCGAUCUAAACUGAAGCAUAUCCAUCUUGCUCUUUUAGUCCGUUACAGUUAUGUCAAACAGUGUGGUUUAAAAAACAUCCUUAAACCCAUGAUAAAUGAUCUUAAAAGACUUGAAACAGAAGGUAUCAAUGUCAAAGUGAGUGGCAUUGAAAAGACUGUAUAUGCUGGACUUGCAACAAUUUCAGCUGAUAAUCUAUCAGCUCACAUGUUGGGGGGUUUUACAAUGUCGUUCAGCAGUCACAGAAUUUGCCGCUUUUGCAUGGCUUCCUAUACAGACAUGAAGAAAAACUUUAAUGAAGAAGAUUUUGUCCUUAUAACUUCAGAAACACACCACUAUCACCUUAUGGCAUGUACCGAAAACCCAGAUCUUAAAACCACUUAUGGAGUAACGGGACCGUGUCCGUUUGCUGAACUUAAGUACUUUGACGCCACUACUGCUUUUCCUCCGGACAUAAUGCAUGACACAUUAGAAGGGGUUGUUCCUGCCAUACUGAAGUUAGUUGUUUGUCAAGCACACAAAGAAAAGCACAUUACCAUAACAGAAAUUAACAACGAGCUUCAGCAGUUGGCAAUUGGCCAAAACGAUGUGAAAAAUAAACCAGUUCAACUAUCAGAGCGAUUGUUGCAAAAAGCGCAAGUAUCUGGGUCAGCAGCUCAAAAGUGGUGCCUUUUUAGACUUUUACCAUUUAUAAUGGCACCUCAUGUACCCCCAAACUGCUGCUACUGGAAUGUGUAUUUGAUUUGUCGUGAAAUUGUUGACAUUAUAUUUGCAUCAAAAGUAAACCGUGAACAUUUGUCUUGUUUGAACUUGCUUGUUGUUGAGUUUCUAGAAAAACUGAAAGAAUUUGAUAUUGUGACUCCAAAGUUUCAUUACUUGAUACAUUAUUCGAGGCUGAUUGACAUGUAUGGACCUUUACGUGCAUUGUGGUGCAUGCGCUUUGAGUCGAAGCACCAGUACUUCAAACUUGUUGCAAGUUCUUCAAGAAACUUUAUAAAUAUAGCAAAAACUUUAAGUGAUAGGCAUCAGAUGUACAAGUGCUGGGAAUUUUCUCCGGAAAAUAUUCUGAAUGAAUUUGAGGAAGUGACAGGGACAAGUGCUGACACUUUAUUUUCGUCACUCCCAUCUGACCUGCAAAGAUGCAUUGCAUCUGUAUGUGGAAUUGACUACACCAUCUCACCACCCACAAAUAUGCAGCGUGUGUCAGGAGUAGUCAUUGACUGUGUCAAAUAUGCCUGCAAAGAUGUAUUUAUAGUUGACUAUUUGCAUACUGAAAUGAUUCCUCUGUUUUUCUUGAUCCAAUUUGUUUUCAAUAUUGAUACGCAAUGGCUAUUGUGUGGCAAACUGCUCGUUCCAAAGGCUUAUAAUGUACAUUUACAUGCGUAUGCACUUCAACAGGACUCAGAUUGGACUGUAAUACAGCCAGGACACGUAAUGGACUUUCAGCCUCUUGACAUUUACAAUAUUGAUGGUAUUUUGUACAUAACAUUAAGAAAUGUUUAA